GAAUACACGACUAUAACAACACGCCGUCUUUCGAAGCAGCAGAUCUGUGUCCAGACUACAUUACUGACUAUAGUGUUUUUUAGAUUUCUAGGUCCCAAUUUAAAGAUCUAGCUUCUAGAUCUAUAUCAAACUAUCACAAUGUCAGAACCUCCACCCUUUACCACUGAUCUACAGUUUUGUCCAUUCUGUGGCUCUGUGCUACCUCUACCUAGUAUUGGACAAAGUAUUAUUUCAUGUGCACGGUGUCCAGCUACUAGGAAUUUAAAAGAAUACCAAGAUGUCACAGAAACUUUUGUCAUUCAUUUCAACACCCCCAAAAGGAAACAAAAGAAAAAUAUAGAAGCGGAAGAUCUCAUAAAAGAAGAGUUGAUACCUGAAUUCCAGGGCCCAACUGUGGAGCGCCAGUGUUCCAGGUGCAACCACGACAUCAUGAUCUACACAACCAGGCAGACACGAUCUUGACAUCAUGAUCUACACAACCAGGCAGACACGAUCGGCAGACGAGGGUCAGACAGUUUUUUACACAUGUGUCAAGUGCAAAUUUCAAGACAUUGAGUAUUCCUAGUUUUUAUCCCAUGCCAGAGUGAAUACAGUCCAAUGAAUAUUUUGCUGCACUAACUUGUUAAUACAUGUCAAUAAAGUAAAAUAAAAUUACUAGU